GAUGAACGCUGGCGGCGUGCCUAGUACAUGCAAGUCGAGCGAACAGACGAGGAGCUUGCUCCUUCGACGUUAGCGGCGGACGGGUGAGUAACACGUAGGUAACCUACCUAUAAGACUGGGAUAACUUCGGGAAACCGGAGCUAAUACCGGAUAAUAUUUCGAACCGCAUGGUUCGAUAGUGAAAGAUGGCUUUGCUAUCACUUAUAGAUGGACCUGCGCCGUAUUAGCUAGUUGGUAAGGUAACGGCUUACCAAGGCAACGAUACGUAGCCGACCUGAGAGGGUGAUCGGCCACACUGGAACUGAGACACGGUCCAGACUCCUACGGGAGGCAGCAGUAGGGAAUCUUCCGCAAUGGGCGAAAGCCUGACGGAGCAACGCCGCGUGAGUGAUGAAGGUCUUCGGAUCGUAAAACUCUGUUAUUAGGGAAGAACAAACGUGUAAGUAACUGUGCACGUCUUGACGGUACCUAAUCAGAAAGCCACGGCUAACUACGUG
rnacentral:rRNA from 1 species